GAAGGAUCCAAGCGUUAUCCGGAUUUAUUGGGUUUAAAGGGUGCGUAGGCGGACUAUUAAGUCAGUGGUGAAAGCCUGCAGCUUAACUGCAGAACUGCCAUUGAUACUGAUGGUCUUGAGUACAUUUGAGGUGGGCGGAAUGUGUCAUGUAGUGGUGAAAUACUUAGAUAUGACACAGAACUCCGAUUGCGAAGGCAGCUCACUAAACUGUAACUGACGCUGAGGCACGAAAGCGUGGGGAUCAAACAGGAUUAGAUACCCUGGUAGUCCACGCCCUAAACGAUGAUUACUCGAUGUGUGCGAUACACUGUACGCGUCUGAGCGAAAGCAUUAAGUAAUCCACCUGGGGAGUACGGCCGCAAGGCUGAA
rnacentral:rRNA from 1 species